rnacentral:rRNA from 1 species
GACAGAGGGUGCAAACGUUGCUCGGAAUCACUGGGCGUAAAAGGGCGUGUAGGCGGGAAGGAAAGUCAGAUGUGAAAUCCCCAGGCUCAACCUGGGAACUGCAUUUGAAACUCCCUUUCUUGAGUACCGGAGAGGAAAGUGGAAUUCCUGGUGUAGAGGUGAAAUUCGUAGAUAUCAGGAGGAACACCAGUGGCGAAGGCGGCUUUCUGGACGGUAACUGACGCUGAGACGCGAAAGCGUGGGGAGCAAACAGG